CCGGGCGGCCAGGCGAUCGCGUGGCGCAAGUCAUGAGGAAAGUCCGAGCAUCACAGGGCAGGGUGCCGGUUAACGGCCGGUGGAGGCAACUCCAAGGAAAGUGCAACAGAAAUAGACCGCCCGGGUUUCCCGGGUAAGGAUGGAAAGGCUAGGUAAGAGCUCACCCGCGUACCGGUGACGGAUACGCGCUGUAAACCCCACCCGAUGCAAGUUCCGAUCAAGGGCAAUACGGCGGCCCGUCGUGCUCUUAAAGAGAACGCUGGAGCCGUGCGGCAACGUGCGGCGUAGAUAGAUGAUCGUCCAACGACAGAACUCGGCUUACGACCGUACCGGCAGC
rnacentral:RNase_P_RNA from 1 species